GUCAUGAACCCGACGCAUAAAUGCGGGGGCUUGUAAGACUUUAUUCUUGCCACGCUCGAAUAUUUUUUGCAAGCCUACAUGACCAGCCUAAGACUCAUGAGGUCUACGUUUAGAGCAAGUGUUAAAUUUCCUACCUACGAAU
rnacentral:sRNA from 21 species